UACGGGGGGAGCAAGCGUUGUUCGGAUUUACUGGGCGUAAAGGGCGCGUAGGCGGCCACCGCAAGUCAAUUGUGAAAUCUCCGGGCUUAACUCGGAACGGCCAAGUGAAACUGUCAAGCUAGAGUGCGGAAGGGGCAAUCGGAAUUCUUGGUGUAGCGGUGAAAUGCGUAGAUAUCAAGAGGAACACCUGAGGUGAAGACGGGUUGCUGGGCCGACACUGACGCUGAUGCGCGAAAGCCAGGGGAGCAAACGGG
rnacentral:rRNA from 1 species